AGAGUUUGAUCCUGGCUCAGAUUGAACGCUGGCGGCAGGCCUAACACAUGCAAGUCGAGCGGUAACAUUUCUAGCUUGCUAGAAGAUGACGAGCGGCGGACGGGUGAGUAAUACUUGGGGAUCUGCCUGAUGGCGGGGGACAACCACUGGAAACGGUGGCUAAUACCGCAUAAUGCCUACGGGCCAAAGUGUGGGACCUUCGGGCCACAUGCCAUCAGAUGAACCCAAGCGAGAUUAGCUAGUUGGUGAGGUAAUGGCUCACCAAGGCGACGAUCUCUAGCUGGUCUGAGAGGAUGAUCAGCCACACUGGGACUGAGACACGGCCCAGACUCCUACGGGAGGCAGCAGUGGGGAAUAUUGGACAAUGGGCGCAAGCCUGAUCCAGCCAUGCCGCGUGUGUGAAGAAGGCCUUCGGGUUGUAAAGCACUUUCAGUGGUGAGGAAGGGGUGCUAGUUAAUAGCUAGCAUCAUUGACGUUAGCCACAGAAGAAGCACCGGCUAACUCCGUGCCAGCAGCCGCGGUAAUACGGAGGGUGCGAGCGUUAAUCGGAAUUACUGGGCGUAAAGCGCACGUAGGCGGUUUGUUAAGCAAGAUGUGAAAGCCCAGGGCUCAACCUUGGAAUAGCAUUUUGAACUGGCAAGCUAGAGUUUUGAAGAGGGUGGUAGAAUUUCCAGUGUAGCGGUGAAAUGCGUAGAUAUUGGAAGGAAUACCAGUGGCGAAGGCGGCCACCUGGUCAAAAACUGACGCUGAGGAGCAAAAGCGUGGGGAGCAAACAGGAUUAGAUACCCUGGUAGUCCACGCCGUAAACGAUGUCAACUAGUUGUUCGUGUCUUUAAGACGUGAGUAACGCAGCUAACGCACUAAGUUGACCGCCUGGGGAGUACGGCCGCAAGGUUAAAACUCAAAGGAAUUGACGG
rnacentral:rRNA from 1 species